UACAGAGGGGGCAAGCGUUGUUCGGAAUUACUGGGCGUAAAGGGCGCGUAGGCGGCCUGUUAAGUCGAACGUGAAAUCCCCGGGCUCAACCCGGGAACUGCGUCCGAUACUGGCAGGCUUGAAUCCGGGAGAGGGAUGCGGAAUUCCAGGUGUAGCGGUGAAAUGCGUAGAUAUCUGGAGGAACACCGGUGGCGGAAGGCGGACAUCCUGGACCGGCAUUGACGCUGAGGCGCGAAAGCCAGGGGGAGCAAACGGGG
rnacentral:rRNA from 1 species